CAAAGACCACAGAGGGAGGAGGGUAUGGGGAUAGUGGGGAGGAUUCUCAACUUGAAGUGUAGUGUCUGUGAUUAUUCCACACAGACCUUCACUGGUUUAUUGCAUCUUUGGGGAGAAGUGGUGAUGGGAGUGGUGGGAACGUGGCUGUCGUCGGUGUGUGAAACCCUGCAGCUACAUCACACCUGCUUGAACAGGGAAAGCACUGCAAGCUGCCACCAUUCAUCCCACAGGGAAAGGGGAGAGCACUCUAUGUGGCAAAGCACCUCCACAGCCAAGGGUGCUCCUGAGGCCACCUCUUAUGGAUUCCAUACAUCCACCCACCCCCAGUGCAUCAGGCCCUCCCCAGGCAGAGCACCCAUCCCACAGGUGGGCAUGUACAGGAGCUGGGGGAGGCCUGGCAAGCACAGAGCCCGCAGACUGCAGCACUUGCCUGUGACUGAACAGGUACCAGAGCAUUCAUCAGCAGGAGCCUGGCGCUGCCCUGGGAGCCGGAGGAGCGUGGUGGGAGGUGGGAAGAUGGCUGCUGCAGGCCGCAGGACACCGAGCACAGCACACACAAUGGAGCCUCUGUUCAAAGCACGCAGCAACAGAAUUGAAACCACUUCAUUUCAAGGGGCAUUCAGGCCUGGAGCCGCGACUGGCACUGGGACAAUUCUCCAAAGUGGAAGAGCUCCUGUUGAAGGAGUGAGUCCUGCCUGCCUCCCGUGGAUACAGCAGCGUGCAAGAGCUUCAAGGACCAGGGCCUCUGCAUUUGUCCACCCACAGUCUGACUUUUCAAAGCUGUGUCUCAGAAAAUGAAGCAAGAUAGUUCUUUUUCAGAUUUAUAACUGAAUGCUUAGGAGCUUAAGCCUCUAUUUCAUGACUCCACUGUAACAGGAACACAGAUCUGAACCAUCAACCACAUACCUCUUCAGAUUUGCAGUGGGUAUUAUUUCAGGUACUCUUGAUUGUAGCUCACUUACGGGAGGGGCAGGUUGUUCACAAGGUUACCAGAAUGCUCUUCCACCUGUGCAUGCAGCAGGCAAUCCAGCAACAAGAUGCAGCUCAGCUUUGAGAUGAAUAAAUAGAUGAAAAAU
rnacentral:lncRNA from 1 species